ensembl:lncRNA
GCGAGUAGUCUUGACGGUAGCAGCAGCUUUCCCACUCGUCUUUUCCUUGUCCUGACCAGGCAUCCAGCUCUUUGUCCUCUGUACCUGUGUCGCCUCCUCUUGCAAAUAACGGGGAUGAUGGCCCUGUCGGGUGUUUGGAGAAUGUCUUGUGCUUCUUGCUCGUUGAAGAAAAAAUCUUUGUCUAAUCCGAGGUGAGUGAUCGCUGUCCUGAUAUCUAGAAGCUCUUUGUCUAAUCCGAGGUGAGUGAUCGAUGUCCUGAUAUCUAGAAGCUCUUUGUCUAAUCCGAGGUGAGUGAUCGCUGUCCUGACAUCCAGAAGCUCUUUGUCUAAUCCGAGGUGAGUGAUCGCUGUCCUGACAUCCAGAAGCUCUUUGUCUAAUCCGAGGUGAGUGAUCGCUGUCCUGACAUCCAGAAGCUCUUUGUCUAAUCCGAGGUGAGUGAUCGCUGUCCUGACAUCCAGAAGCUCUUUGUCUAAUCCGAGGUGAGUGAUCGCUGUCCUGAUAUCUAGAAGCUCUGUGUCUAAUCUGAGGUGAGUGAUCGC